UACGUAGGGUGCAAGCGUUGUCCGGAAUUAUUGGGCGUAAAGGGCUCGUAGGCGGUCCGUCACGUCGGCUGUGAAAACCCGGGGCUCAACCCCGGGCCUGCAGUCGAUACGGGCGGACUAGAGUUCGGCAGGGGAGACUGGAAUUCCUGGUGUAGCGGUGAAAUGCGCAGAUAUCAGGAGGAACACCGGUGGCGAAGGCGGAUCUCUGGGCCAUUACUGACGCUGAGGAGCGAAAGCGUGGGGAGCGAACAGG
rnacentral:rRNA from 1 species